rnacentral:rRNA from 1 species
AACGAACGCUGGCGGCAGGCCUAACACAUGCAAGUCGAACGCUGUAGCAAUACAGAGUGGCAGACGGGUGAGUAACGCGUGGGAACGUGCCUUUCGGUUCGGAAUAACUCAGGGAAACUUGAGCUAAUACCGGAUACGCCCUUCGGGGGAAAGAUUUAUUGCCGAAAGAUCGGCCCGCGUCCGAUUAGCUAGUUGGUGUGGUAAUGGCGCACCAAGGCGACGAUCGGUAGCUGGUCUGAGAGGAUGAUCAGCCACACUGGGACUGAGACACGGCCCAGACUCCUACGGGAGGCAGCAGUGGGGAAUAUUGGACAAUGGGCGCAAGCCUGAUCCAGCCAUGCCGCGUGAGUGAUGAAGGCCCUAGGGUUGUAAAGCUCUUUCGCCAGGGACGAUAAUGACGGUACCUGGAUAAGAAGCCCCGGCUAACUUCGUGCCAGCCGCCGCAGUAA